rnacentral:tRNA from 1 species
GUGCCUGUAGCUUAAUUGCAAGAGCACCAUCGUCCGAAGAUGGAAGGUUGAGGUUGAAGUCCUCACAGGUGCGCCA